rnacentral:misc_RNA from 1 species
UUCACCUCUUCUUUCAUGGU